rnacentral:rRNA from 1 species
CAGCAGCCGCGGGAACACGUAGGGUGCAAGCGUUAAUCGGAAUUACUGGGCGUAAAGCGUGCGCAGGCGGUUAUAUAAGACAGAUGUGAAAUCCCCGGGCUCAACCUGGGAACUGCAUUUGUGACUGUAUAGCUAGAGUACGGCAGAGGGGGAUGGAAUUCCGCGUGUAGCAGUGAAAUGCGUAGAUAUGCGGAGGAACACCGAUGGCGAAGGCAAUCACCUGGGCCUGUACUGACGCUCAUGCACGAAAGCGUGGGGAGCAAACAGGAUUAGAUACCCCUGUAGUCCCUGUCUCUUAUAC